rnacentral:rRNA from 1 species
AGAUUGAACGCUGGCGGCAUGCCUUACACAUGCAAGUCGAACGGUAACAGGGAGCUUGCUCCGCUGACGAGUGGCGAACGGGUGAGUAAUAUAUCGGAACGUACCUUUGAGUGGGGGAUAACUAGUCGAAAGAUUAGCUAAUACCGCAUACGAUCUACGGAUGAAAGCGGGGGAUCGCAAGACCUCGUGCUCAUAGAGCGGCCGAUAUCUGAUUAGCUAGUUGGUGAGGUAAAGGCUCACCAAGGCUUCGAUCAGUAGCUGGUCUGAGAGGACGACCAGCCACACUGGGACUGAGACACGGCCCAGACUCCUACGGGAGGCAGCAGUGGGGAAUUUUGGACAAUGGGGGCAACCCUGAUCCAGCAAUGCCGCGUGAGUGAAGAAGGCCUUCGGGUUGUAAAACUCUUUGGCGGGACGAUAAUGACGGUACCGCAGAAUAAGCUCCGGCUAACUUCGUGCCAGCAGCCGC